rnacentral:rRNA from 1 species
AUUGAACGCUGGCGGCAGGCCUAACACAUGCAAGUCGAGCGGAGCGGCGGACGGGUGAGUGAUGUAUGGGGAUCUGCCCGUUAGAGGGGGAUAACUACUCGAAAGAGUGGCUAAUACCGCAUACUAUUGGAGCGGUCGAUAUGGGAUUAGCUAGUUGGUGGGGUAAAGGCGCACCAAGGCGACGAUCCGUAGCGGGUGUGAGAGGAUGACCAGCCACACUGGGACUGAGACACGGCCCAGACUCCUACGGGAGGCAGCAGUGGGGAAUGUUGGACAAUGGGGGAAAGCCUGAUCCAGCCAUCCCGCGUGUAUGAUGAAGGCCUUCGGGUUGUAAAGUACUUUUGGCAGGGAAGCGGUAUCUGCAGAAUAAGCACCGGCUAACUACGUGCCAGCAGCCGCGGUAAUAC